rnacentral:rRNA from 1 species
AUGUUUAGGAUCGAAGGUCAGGAGGAGCUCAAAAAGUAUAUCACCAAAUACUACAAAUCUCUUUUCGGAGCGCCGACUGAAGGGAAUUUCACCCUUGAUGAAACCCGAAUAGAUGAUAUUCCACAUGUCACAGCAGAUGAAAACGAUAUCCUAACGGCACCAUUCUCAGAAGAGGAGGUACGAGCUGCGGUGUUCCAAAUGGAACAUAACAAAGCUCCAGGCCCUGAUGGCUUCCCCACAGAAUUCUAUCAGAAUUUCUGGGAUAUCAUCAAGUCCGACCUUUUGGAGUUGUUCAAUUGUUUUCAUGCCGACCAACUUGACCUAUUCAGACUUAAUUUUGGCGAGAUUGUCUUGUUGCCGAAGAUUAAGGAGGCCGAACGGAUUCAACAGUUCAGACCCAUAUGCCUCCUUAAUGUCAGCUUCAAGAUUUUCACCAAAGUGGCGACGAAUAGAUUAAACUCGGUAGCUGACCAUGUUGUUCGGCCAUCUCAAACAGCUUUCAUGCAAGGAAGGAACAUACUCGAUGGCGUAGUAAUCCUGCAUGAGACCGUCCAUGAGAUGCACCGGAAAAACAUGAGUGGAGUAGUAUUCAAAAUAGACUUUGAAAAAGCCUAUGACAAGGUCAAAUGGUCUUUCCUCCAACAGGCCCUAAGGAUGAAAGGCUUCUCCGAUAAAUGGUGCAAGUGGAUCCACAAUUUUGUAACUGGAGGUAGUGUGGCCAUCAAAGUCAAUGAUGAUGUCGGCCAUUAUUUUCAGACAAAAAAAGGACUACGACAGGGUGAUGCCAUAUCCCCAAUGUUAUUUAACAUUGUGGCUGACAUGUUGGCUAUUCUGAUUGAGCGCGCCAAGCAGGACGGGCAAAUUACA